rnacentral:rRNA from 1 species
CCCAUUCCCGACACGGGGAGGUAGUGACGAAAAAUAACAAUACAGGACUCUAACGAGGCCCUGUAAUUGGAAUGAGUACAUCCUAAAACUCUUAACGAGUAUCCAUUGGAGGGCAAGUCUGGUGCCAGCAGCCGCGGUAAUUCCAGCUCCAACAGUGUAUGCUAAAGUUGUUGCGGUUGAAAAGCUCGUAGUUGGAUUUUGGGCGGGCGCAGCCGGUCCGUCGCAAGGCGUGUCACUGGUUGCGUUCGCCUCACCUUCGGUUCUCCGCCGGUGCUCUUGACUGAGUGUCGGCGGUGGCCGAUAAGUUUACUUUGAAAAAAUUAGAGUGUUCAAAGCAGGCUGCCCGCCUGCAUAGUGUUGCAUGGAAUAAUGGAAUAGGACCUCGGUUCUAUUUUGUUGGUUUUCGGAGCACGAGGUAAUGAUUAAGAGGGACAGACGGGGGCGUCCGUACUCUGCCGUUAGAGGUGAAAUUCUUGGAUCGGCGGAAGACGAACUACUGCGAAAGCAUUCGCCAAGAAUGUUUUCUUUAAUCAAGAGCGAAAGUCAGAGGUUCGAAGACGAUCAGAUACCGUCCUAGUUCUGACUAUAAACGAUGCCAACUAGCGAUCGGGAGGCGUUACCAUGACGACCUUUCCGGCAGCUUCCGGGAAACCAAAGUCUUUGGGUUCCGGGGGAAGUAUGGUUGCAAAGCUGAAACUUAAAGGAAUUGACGGAAGGGCACCACCAGGAGUGGAGCCUGCGGCUUAAUUUGACUCAACACGGGGAAACUCACCCGGCCCGGACACAGGUAGGAUUGACAG